GACGAACGCUGGCGGCGUGCUUAACACAUGCAAGUCGAACGGAAAGGCCCUGCUUUUGUGGGGUGCUCGAGUGGCGAACGGGUGAGUAACACGGGAGUAACCUGCCCUUGACUUUGGGAUAACUUCAGGGAACUGGGGCUAAUACCGGAUAGGAGCUCCUGCUGCAUGGUGGGCGGUGGAGAGUUUCGGCGGUUGGGGAUGGACUCGCGGCUUAUCAGCUUGUUGGUGGGGUAGUGGCUGACGAAGGCUUUGACGGGUAGCCGGCCUGAGAGGGUGACCGGCCACAGUGGGACCGAGAGACGGCCCAGACUGCUGCGGGAGGCAGCAGUGGGGAAGAUUGCAGAAGGGGCGGAGGCCUGAUGCAGCAACGCCGCGUGCGGGAUGAAGGCCUUCGGGUUGGAAACCGCUGUCGCGUGUGACGAAGCGUGAGUGACGGUAAUGGGUAAAGAAGCACCGGCUAACUACGUG
rnacentral:rRNA from 1 species